rnacentral:lncRNA from 1 species
AAAAAAUAUUUAUAUUUUUUUCAAAUUUUUUCACAAAAAGAUAAAAAUUCAUUAAAAGGCAUAAAAAAUCUCAAACUAGUCUUAAAACUUGCUGUCCAAAAAUUCUAGCAAUCCCCCUCCUACAAAUGUGCUUGGAUCUCCUUCAUCACAACUUUCAUUUUUUAUAUACUGAAGAUUGUUUGAAAGCUAAAAAUAAGAUCUAGCUUCUUUGAAAAUCUCAACAAAAAGAAAAUGCAAUAAAUGGCAUAGAAAAUUUUAAACUAGUCUUGAAUCUUGCCAUCCAAAAAUUCCAGUAAUUCCCUCCUUCAAGUUUGCAUGAAUCUUCCUUGUCACAACUCUUCUACUUCUAUGCUAAGACUUGUUAGAAAGCUAACAAACAAAUCUAGUUUUUUUUAAAAUCUCAAGAAAAAAAAAAUAUAAUAAAUGGUAUAAAUAAGCUCAAACUAAUCU